UAAGUCCUCUCAGUUAGGAGGA
rnacentral:miRNA from 12 species